rnacentral:snRNA from 1 species
AAAUUUAAAAUUUAUACAUUAUUGGAACGAUACAGAAAAGAUUAACAUGGCACUUGUGCAAGGAUGACACGCACAAUCCUAUCAAAAAUAAAACGAAUAU